rnacentral:rRNA from 1 species
UGCAGUAGAACGCUGAAGACUUUAGCUUGCUAAAGUUGGAAGAGUUGCGAACGGGUGAGUAACGCGUAGGUAACCUGCCUACUAGCGGGGGAUAACUAUUGGAAACGAUAGCUAAUACCGCAUAACAGCAUUUAACACAUGUUAGAUGCUUGAAAGGAGCAAUUGCUUCACUAGUAGAUGGACCUGCGUUGUAUUAGCUAGUUGGUGAGGUAACGGCUCACCAAGGCGACGAUACAUAGCCGACCUGAGAGGGUGAUCGGCCACACUGGGACUGAGACACGGCCCAGACUCCUACGGGAGGCAGCAGUAGGGAAUCUUCGGCAAUGGGGGCAACCCUGACCGAGCAACGCCGCGUGAGUGAAGAAGGUUUUCGGAUCGUAAAGCUCUGUUGUAAGAGAAGAACGUGUGUGAGAGUGG